UACGGAGGGUGCGAGCGUUGUUCGGAAUCACUGGGCGUAAAGCGCGUGUAGGCGGCCCGCUAAGUCUGAUGUGAAAGCCCGAGGCUCACCCUCGGAAGGGCAUUGGAAACUGGCGGACUGGAGUCCCGGAGAGGAGGGUGGAAUUCCUGGUGUAGCGGUGAAAUGCGUAGAGAUGCGGAGGAACACCGAUGGCGAAGGCAGCCCCCUGGGCUAACACUGACGCUCAGGCACGAAAGCGUGGGGGGCAAACAGG
rnacentral:rRNA from 1 species